rnacentral:rRNA from 1 species
UACGAAGGGGGCUAGCGUUGCUCGGAAUCACUGGGCGUAAAGGGUGCGUAGGCGGGUCUUUUAAGUCAGGGGUGAAAUCCUGGAGCUCAACUCCAGAACUGCCUUUGAUACUGAGGAUCUUGAGUUCGGGAGAGGUGAGUGGAACUGCGAGUGUAGAGGUGAAAUUCGUAGAUAUUCGCAAGAACACCAGUGGCGAAGGCGGCUCACUGGCCCGAUACUGACGCUGAGGCACGAAAGCGUGGGGAGCAAACAGGA